GACAAAGGACUAGUUCGAGGUGACUCAGCAAGUUAGGGACUGGGACAGAACUGGAUCCCACGCCGCCACUCUUUCCACUGCCUUGUGUAACUGGGCAGAUGAAUUUACAAGUGGACCUGGCUAAGAGUCUCACCCUUUGAGACCGAACCUAGUAAAGCAGUAACAACCACAGCAACAACAGCAGGGCAAAUAACCAUUUUUGGAGCUAAACCACCCAGAAAAUGGUUUGCAAGUAUGUUGCAGAUAGAUCUAGCAUCAUAUUUCUUUUUAUUCUUUUCUUUUUUUUUUUUUUUGCGGUACGCGGGCCUCUCACCGCUGUGGCCUCUCCCGCUGCUCCAGACGCGCAGGCUCAGCGGCCACGGCUCACGGGCCCAGCCGCUCCGCGGCAUGUGGGAUCUUCCCGGACCGGGGCACAAACCCAUGUCCCCUGCAUCGGCAGGCAGACUCUCAACCACUGUGCCACCAGGGAAGCCCCAUCAUAUUUCUUGAAACCAAUCAAAUGACCAAGUAGUAUUCUGAAGCUCUGUUGUAAAGAAAAUUACAACUUAUAUUGUAACCUGAAUGUCCAUAUCUCAAAAUUGUUCAGGAAAGCUCCUGGAGAUCAUUAUACAUUUGCUGGAACGCCAGAAGACCCUUAUGUCCAAAGUGUAGGCUAAGUUGCUAUAACAACAGAUGGAGCUUUGCUGGUAACUGAGAACAUAUAAGAGUUAAUAAAAGAGCAGUGCUCCUGAUACCCAUUGAAAAGGUAACUGCAUUGGUACCACUUAAGAAAAUCAUUCUGAACUGUGGCCCUUCUAGAUCUUGACUUCAGCCUUCCCCACCCGAUUCCAGAGAACUACAUGAAUAUCCUGGCCUUGGCGAAUGCUUUUUCAACAAACGUAUUCUUUCCUCAGGCAAGAAAUGAAGGAUUCUACAUUUUAAAAACCAAAACCAAAGAAAUAAAUGAGGAAGAUGGAAACUCUGCUUUUGAAUGUUAAGAAGAAAUUACGUAUUUUUGACUGUGACUUCUAAACUGCUUUAUCAGUUAAAUAAUUCUCUAUGUUUAUGAUCUGGGCCAUUCUUCCUACCGAAGUUAAAAGCUAAUGGAAAUGUUGUGUCUGCCAAGUAUUCCCACUUCAAAAGGAAAGUUUCUUGGUGCUUUGAUGUGAGCAACACCUCAUCUGUCUUCUUACAUCGUACAGUUCACUCCUAUCUAGGCUUUCUGAUAGCCUUUAAAAGUAUGCCUCUUUUCUCUAAAGCCUCAGGCAGAUUCACUCCACACUUACAGCUCUUUGGAUCAAGUGUAAUUAUAGAUCUUAGACUUUCAAAGUGUUGUGUAAAAAAAAAAAAACAUCUAUUAAGACUGUUUAUAAUCCUACCGGAGUUUUGUGAUAAGUAAUUCAUACAAGAACCAUCGUGUUUUUGUUUUUUGUUUUAAUCUUUUGUGUGACUUUACAAGACCUGGAAAACACCUAGGUGUGAAUUAACCAGAUCAUGUAAUGAAAUAUUUUGUUCAGAGAAAUAAAAUCCUAAUUUUAUC
rnacentral:lncRNA from 1 species